UACGUAGGUGGCAAGCGUUGUCCGGAUUUAUUGGGUUUAAAGGGUGCGUAGGCGGUCCUAUAAGUCAGUUGUGAAAUACGGCAGCUUAACUGUCAAGGUGCCAUUGAUACUGCAGAGCUUGAGUACAGAUGAGGUAGGCGGAAUUGACGGUGUAGCGGUGAAAUGCUUAGAUAUCGUCAAGAACACCUAUAGCGAAGGCAGCUUACUAGGCUGUAACUGACGCUGAGGCACGAAAAGUGUGGGGAUCAAACAGGG
rnacentral:rRNA from 1 species